GGUGAACGCUGGCGGUAGGCCUAACACAUGCAAGUCGAACGGCAGCACAGUAAGAGCUUGCUCUUACGGGUGGCGAGUGGCGGACGGGUGAGGAAUACAUCGGAAUCUACUUUUUCGUGGGGGAUAACGUAGGGAAACUUACUCUAAUACCGCAUACGACCUACGGGUGAAAGCAGUGGAUCUUCGGACCUUGCGCGAUUGAAUGAGCCGAUGUCGGAUUAGCUAGUUGGCGGGGUAAAGGCCCACCAAGGCGACGAUCCGUAGCUGGUCUGAGUGGAUGGUCAGCCACACUGGAACUGCGACACGGUCCAGACUCCUACGGGAGGCAGCAGUGGGGAAUAUUGGACAAUGGGCGCAAGCCUGAUCCAGCCAUACCGCGUGGGUGAAGAAGGCCUUCGGGUUGUAAAGCCCUUUUGUUGGGAAAGAAAAGCAGCAGGUUAAUACCCCGCUGUUCUGACGGUACCCAAAGAAUAAGCACCGGCUAACUUCGUG
rnacentral:rRNA from 1 species